GCGCGAAACCUUCACAAUGCACGAAAGUGUGAUGGGGGGACUCAGAGUGCAGAUGCAUUAGCAUCUGCUUUUGCUGACUCGAAAUUGGUCGGAGAAUAAGUGGUGGGCAAGACUGGUGCCAGCCGCCGCGGUAACCCCAGCGCCACUAGUGGGAAUCAGUAUUAUUGGGUCUAAAGCGUCCGUAGCAGGUCUACUAAAUUGCUUGUGAAAUCGCAUCACUCAAUGAUGCGGAUGGCAGGUAGGACUGGUAGACUAGAGACUGGGAGACGUUGGAGGUAUUCAAAGGGGAGCGGUAAAAUGCGAGAAUCCUUUGAAGACCACCUGUUGCGAAGGCGUCCAACAAUAACAGGUCUGACUGUGAGGGUCGAAAGCUAGGGGAGCGAACCGG
rnacentral:rRNA from 1 species